GCUUCCGGGAAGUGGUCACACUAAUUCCUUAUUUUCCACCACUGCCUUUAGUACUGGAGCGGCUGCUGUUGCAUCCUUAUGUUGCUGCACCCUGAGUAACCAGAAGUUCUCACUGAUUGCUGCAGCUCUAAGUGAUAGCCUACAUGGUGGUUUUUCAGAGUUCACCGAUGACAUGACAUUUACAAAUUUCUGAUCCUCAUCACUUUGGUGAAAGCUGCCUCACUCACUCAUGCCCUCUGGAAGCCUCUGCCCUCCUGCAGCUGCUUCAGGACCCUGAAACUGCUUCUGCUGAGAUCCUGAAUCAAUACAUUUUUACUAAGAAGACUAAUGGACAUUUCUUCAGAGACAGCCAAGGACCUAAAUAAUGAGCGUCUUCAACGAAGCAUGUUUAUCUAUGCGUCCUUAAGUCGUAAAGGAAUAUCUAGCUUCCAAAUGCCAAUACUAAAAAAAACUAAAGAAGGAGUCCAGUGGAGGGCCACAAAGAUGAUGAAGGGACUGGAGCAUCUUCUUUACGAGGAAAGGCUGAGGCACCUGGGACACAUUGGCAUGGAGAAGAAAAGGCUGAGAUGUUGCAGUCUCUUUCU
ensembl:lncRNA